GUACGCUUCGGCAGGACAUAUACUAAAAUUGGAACGAUACAGAGAAGAUUAGCAUGGCCCCUGCGCAAUAAUGACACGCAAAAAAAAAAAAAAAAAGAUACUUGG